rnacentral:rRNA from 1 species
AUUGAACGCUGGCGGCAUGCCUUACACAUGCAAGUCGAACGGCAGCACGGGUGCUUGCACCUGGUGGCGAGUGGCGAACGGGUGAGUAAUACAUCGGAACAUGUCCUGUAGUGGGGGAUAGCCCGGCGAAAGCCGGAUUAAUACCGCAUACGAUCUACGUAUGAAAGCGGGGGACCUUCGGACCUCGCGCUAUAGGGUUGGCUGAUGGCUGAUUAGCUAGUUGGUGGGGUAAAGGCCUACCAAGGCGACGAUCAGUAGCUGGUCUGAGAGGACGACCAGCCACACUGGGACUGAGACACGGCCCAGACUCCUACGGGAGGCAGCAGUGGGGAAUUUUGGACAAUGGGCGAAAGCCUGAUCCAGCAAUGCCGCGUGUGUGAAGAAGGCCUUCGGGUUGUAAAGCACUUUUGUCAGGAAAGAAAUACUUGGCCCUAAUACGGUCGGGGGAUGACGGUACCGGAAGAAUAAGCACCGGCUAACUACGUG